rnacentral:rRNA from 1 species
GAUGAACGCUGGCGGCGUGCCUAACACAUGCAAGUCGAACGGAUCCAUACUGAAACCUAGUGAUGUAUGGAUUAGUGGCGGACGGGUGAGUAACGCGUGGAUAACCUGCCGUAUACAGGGGGAUAACACUUAGAAAUAGGUGCUAAUACCGCAUAAGCGCACGGUUCCGCAUGGAACAGUGUGAAAAACUCCGGUGGUAUACGAUGGAUCCGCGUCUGAUUAGCCAGUUGGCGGGGUAACGGCCCACCAAAGCGACGAUCAGUAGCCGGCCUGAGAGGGUGAACGGCCACAUUGGGACUGAGACACGGCCCAA